rnacentral:tRNA from 1 species
AGGAUUAUAGUUAAUAAUAACAUUUAGUUUGCAUCUAAAAAGUAUUGAUUUUAUCAAUUUUUCUU